GAUGAACGCUGGCGGCGUGCCUAAUACAUGCAAGUCGAGCGAACAGACGAGGAGCUUGCUCCUCUGACGUUAGCGGCGGACGGGUGAGUAACACGUGGAUAACCUACCUAUAAGACUGGGAUAACUUCGGGAAACCGGAGCUAAUACCGGAUAAUAUAUUGAACCGCAUGGUUCAAUAGUGAAAGACGGUUUUGCUGUCACUUAUAGAUGGAUCCGCGCCGCAUUAGCUAGUUGGUAAGGUAACGGCUUACCAAGGCAACGAUGCUUAGCCGACCUGAGAGGGUGAUCGGCCACACUGGAACUGAGACACGGUCCAGACUCCUACGGGAGGCAGCAGUAGGGAAUCUUCCGCAAUGGGCGAAAGCCUGACGGAGCAACGCCGCGUGAGGGAUGAAGGUCUUCGGAUCGUAAAACUCUGUUAUUAGGGAAGAACAAAUGUGUAAGUAACUGUGCACAUCUUGACGGUACCUAAUCAGAAAGCCACGGCUAACUACGUG
rnacentral:rRNA from 1 species